rnacentral:misc_RNA from 1 species
GCUAAAAUGACAUGAAACAUGUUCACCCUCUCACACCAUGAAAGAAUUUACAAAGAGCACUGAUGCCAGAAAUGUCAUCAAAUUAUGCAUUCAAUUAAGAUGCACACAACUGAUUUGCUGCUUUUGCAACACAAACGUUUUUGUUACAACAUGAUCAGGUGAUGAUUUCUCGAACUAGCCAAUCCAAACUGGGAUAUGCAAAGUACAGAAUUAGAAAAGAUGGGAGAGCAAACACAACGGUGAUGAGCAUGUACAAGGCCAAGACAGCUGCGCUGGCAGGUAUAGCAUACAUGAUGAUCAGGAGAAAUAUAACCACCAGAGGGAACUUGGCUGUCAAAUGAACAAAGAAAAUGAGAGACUUGCGCAGAGAAGAGUGAAGUCUCUCAAUAGCAAGAGUACCACUAAUGUGAUUGUGAUCAUGGUUCGAGCCUGAUGAUUCGGGGUGAUGAACAUACUGUCCCCUCUGUCGGUUAGACUGGCUUGCUGUACUUCCUAAGAAUUUUGUAGACGAUGACCAGGCUGUCUGUUGAUGAUCCCCACAAGAUGAGUUAUGAGACUUUGUUCUGUCACCAUUCAUACUCUCAAGCAUCCAGAGAAGAAAGAAGUUCUUACGAGGAAACUUAAGGUUCCCUCUAUAAACCAAACGAAGGGAUAACACAUUGCACCAGGGACAAGCUAUAAACAGUGGAAGCUGAAGCGGCAAAGUAGGGAACUUCACAACAGCCCAUUGUAGUCCUAGUAUGCAGUUUUUACAAAGUGUAUGGCCACACCAUAGAACAUAGGGUACGUUCUCAACAAUGUUGAAAGAUUCCCAG